AGAGUUUGAUUAUGGCUCAGGACGAACGCUGGCGGCGUGCUUCAUACAUGCAAGUCGAACGAGAAUCUGACUUCGGUCAGAGGAAAGUGGCGGACGGGUGAGUAAAAUGUAGAGAAUCUGCCCUAAAGAGAGGGACAACAGUUGGAAACGACUGCUAAUACCUCAUAUGCGCGUAGCUGAGAUGCUAUUCGUGAAAACUCCGGUGCUCUGGGAUGAGUCUGCAUCUGAUUAGCUAGUUGGCGGUGUAAUGGACCACCAAGGCGACGAUCAGUAGCUGGUUUGAGAGGAUGAUCAGCCACAAUGGGACUGAGACACGGCCCAUACUCCUACGGGAGGCAGCAGUAGGGAAUUUUGUCGCAAUGGGGGAAACCCUGACGCCAGCAACGCCGCGUGAUUGAAUAAGCCCUUCGGGGUGUAAAGAUCUGUCAGUAGGGACGAAACUUGACGGUACCUACAGAGGAAGCAUCGGCUAACUCCGUGCCAGCCGCGGC
rnacentral:rRNA from 1 species